ensembl:lncRNA
GGCCAGGACAGGAGGAAGAGAGGUUCUGGAGAGUGAGUAGAGAAUCUGGAGGAGGACAGGAGGGAGAGAGGUUCUGGAGAGUGAGUAGAGAAUCUGGAGGAGGACAGGAGGGAGAGAGGUUCUGGAGAGUGAGUAGAGAAUCUGGAGGAGGACAGGAGGGAGAGAGGUUCUGGAGAGUGAGUAGAGAAUCUGGAGGAGGACAGGAGGGAGAGAGGUUCUGGAGAGUGAGUAGAGAAUCUGGAGGAGGACAGGAGGGAGAGAGGUUCUGGAGAGUGAGUAGAGAAUCUGGAGGAGGACAGGAGGGAGAGAGGUUCUGGAGAGUGAGUAGAGAAUCUGGAGGAGGGCAGAGGGGAGACUAUAGAGAGGCUCGCUAUCUCCCCUUUCUCCCCCUCAUCUUCCACCCUUCCAACAAGCUGUUCUUCAGAGGGCCUGCCUGCCUGCCUGCUCCCUCCCUGGGUCUGCUGUUGAACUUGGCCUUGCCGUCACUCUGGGGUAACCCAACACCCUGCACAGAGGGUCCUGACAGACAGAGGGACUGGGCGGAGGGUGGAGGGGUGAGG